rfam:Pichia sorbitophila strain CBS 7064 chromosome M complete sequence.
CAGCCUUGUGCCGCGCUCGGCUAUAUGCUUUUAUCAUUAGUCUUGAGCUGGAUGCAACUUAAAAAGACUUAAGUCUCUUUUUAAGAGUGCAAUAGGCGAAAGUAAGCAAGGUUUAUUUGAGUACGGUGGUAUCGAGGUCGCUCGACCAAAUGGUGGCACUGUAAUUUAAGACCUUCACAUGU